AUGGAUCAGGUUUUCUCUAUUGAUACAGGUCGAGGUCAACAAGGAGAGAAGAAGAGAAAAAACAUGUGCAGUGCAAGUGUGUCGCCAAAGCUUAUGUCCUUCUAUUUAUUAGAAAAUAUUACAAAUGGUUUCUCUGAGGACAGGAAGCUUGGUGCUGGUUCGUAUGGAAAAGUUUACAUGGGAGAGUAUGAGGAUGGGGAAGCAAUUGCUGUGAAGUUGCUCCAUUACACCCCAGGACUUGAUGAUGAGCAAUUUGAGAAGGAGUAUCGCAACCUUGCAAGCCUCCAACACAAUAAUAUUGUGCGGUUACUUGGCUAUGCUCAUGAAACUCAGCGAGAAUGCUUACCGUAUAAUGGAAAAAUGGUUUUUGCGGAGAUGACAAAAAGAGCGCUUUGCUUCGAGUAUAUGCCUAAUGGAAGCCUUGACAAAUUCCUUUCUGAUGAAUCUAGUGGACUCGAUUGGUGCACACGCUAUUCCAUAAUUAAGGGGAUCUGUGAGGGUAUACAAUACCUUCACGGCGAACUGGAUUCUCCUAUGUAUCAUUUGGAUUUGAAACCAGCCAAUGUAUUGCUGGAUGAGAACAUGGUUCCGAAAGUAGCAGAUUUUGGCUUGUCAAGACUCUUUGGUGGAGAACUAACACAAAUGACAAAAAGUGCUAUAGGAACACCUGGAUAUGUACCACCGGAAUACAUAGACGCGGCUAUAAUUUCAAUUAAGUUUGACAUAUUCAGUUUAGGUGUCGUAAUCAUAAAGAUAAUGACUGGACCAACAGGCUACUUCAGAACUGCCGAAAUGUCUUGCGAACAAUUCAUCGAGCUUGUACAUGAGAACUGGAACAAUAGGCUACAUACAACAUCAUUAUAUAAAUCAUAUUCAGAACAAGCAAAGCGAUGCAUUGAAAUAGCUUUACGUUGCGUGGACGCUGAUAGACACAAAAGGCCGAGUAUGGGGGUAAUCAUGGAUCAGCUGAAUGAGACGGAGACUGCGAUACAACUUCUUGAGGUGUCAUGGAAUGACACAGGGUCGUACGAGAUGUGCCAUUGCAUUUCAACUGAGUGUGAGUUGAUGGAUAUCUCGCUAAAGAAAUGUGUGUCCCACCCAAUGCACGUAACUGAUAAUAGAGGUGAGGUGCAUGAGGUAACAGUGACUACCGCUUAUGACCCAGCAAGCGAGACUGAAACCUUUGAGCCGAUCCGACCGAGAAUAAAGAUGAUCGACAUGCGCUGGCAUAAGAGUGGAUUUAUUAAUGUAAUGGAUGUGCAUCCAGCAAAGCCUUGGAUUUUGCUAGGUCAUAUAUCCGGAAAGGUCUCCCUUUGGAACCAUCGGACUCAGGAAAACGUGAUGAAAUGGGACGCCAGUGAAGAUGGAAAUAAAGGUUAUCCGAUUAGUGCAGUUAAAUUUAUCGCACGGAUGAAUUGGUUUGUGAUCGGUACUGCCAUUAUUGGGCUCAUCCAGGUGUAUUCAUGUAAUAAAGUACUGGGCAUACUGAAUCAAUUCACAGCCGGUUACGGCAGGGUCAAUUCACUGGCGGUUCACCCGAGCCAGCCAUUGGUGCUGUCAGCGUGUGGCCGGCAGAUCAAACUAUGGAACUGGGAGGCUGGCUGGGCAUGCAUUAGGACAUUCGCGGAAGCACAUUCGGGUGACGUGCUGCACCAGUACAUUGGGGCCGAGUUUAAUCCGCAGGGUACGGGCGACACAUUUGCUAGUGCUUCCUGGGACGGAACAGUACAGAUCUGGAGCAUCUAUUCUGACACGCCUAUCUCGACGUUGAAAUCUGAUUAUAAGCAAAGACUACUGCAAAGUGUUGAUUAUUUUAUUGCUCGUGGUGAUCGGCAGUACAUUGUUGCAGGGUAUUGGGACGGGACCGCACAUAUCUGGGAUUUGCAGUCAAACAAAUGUAUUCGACGAAUCAAGGGACUCCAAACCUGGGAUAACAAUAUUGCUGUUGCUGUUGUCGGCCGGCCGCAGGGUCAUCAGAUUUUGGUUACAGUUUCGAAAGACAAUGUUGUUUCUUUCUGUGACUCCACUACCCACAGGUAUGAGAACAAGGUUCACUUUACCAACAAACCCAUUCGGCGUUUUGGAUACAUUAAUAGCACUAAAAGUCUCGUUAUUGGAUAUAUUGAUGGACUCGCAAUCAUCGAAACAAUGAAAUAG
rnacentral:rRNA from 1 species